rnacentral:lncRNA from 1 species
ACCUUUGACACUGAGUUCCCCUGUCCUCCCACAAAUGAUUCUCUUGGAUCUGUCUUGUCUGUUUAUUCAAUAACACGCUACCCAUCACACUAAGGAAAGAAAUGGAAAAAUCCCCAGCCCAGCACAAUGGCAGCCAUCUGCCUUCUGUUUAAGCAGCUAAUGAUGAUAAAGUACAGUCCCUGUGUGUGUAUGUGCAUGAAGAUGAGGCAGCUGCCAGCCGCUAAAUUACUGCAACAAAGGCAAGUUUUCUAAAGCAUUUUAUGUAACACUUGUUCCCUUCCUUUUGAUGAAUGAUUCAUUAAUGUCUCUGUUAGAGAUAAUUAUUACAAAGGCUAUAGCCUUUUU